rnacentral:tRNA from 1 species
UAAAAGUUAGUUAAUUUCCUAUAACGUAAGUUUGUCAAAUUUAAAUAAUUUUUUUAUAAAUACUUUUAU